rnacentral:sRNA from 1 species
AUGAGGUCUUUUAGGAGUUCACUGGCUUCGAGUUUCGUAGGAACUCCGAAGUUAAGCGAGUUCGUGUGAGAGCAAUCCCAGGAAGGGUGACCCACUGGGAAGUUCUCAUAUGAGUUCCAAGAAACAAAACCGUGAGGGUGUGGUCAGGGCUCAAAGCAGACAAUAUCGUGCUACGGUGGAGUUGAGCCCGGGAUGUGAUGGAGGCCUAGGCCGAGAUGUGACAAUUUGGUAUCAGAGCCAAUUCAUGGCCGGAAGUCUGCCGACGAGGACGUCGAGCCCCUAAGGGGGGGUGGAUUGUAACAUCCCACAUCGCCCAGGGGAGUGGAUCCUGUAAGCCUUAUAUGUAUAUUCACAUCUCUACCUAGUACGAGGCUUUUUGGGAGCUCACUGGCUUUGGGUUCCGUAGAAACUCCAAAGUUAAGCGAGUUCGCGCGAGAGCAAUACCAGGAUGGGUGACCCACUGGGAAGUUCUCUUGUGAGUUCCU